rnacentral:rRNA from 1 species
UAGGGAAUAUUGGGCAAUGGAGGGAACUCUGACCCAGCCAUGCCGCGUGCAGGAUGAAGGCGUUAUGCGUUGUAAACUGCUUUUUAUAUAGGAAGAAAUAGUCCUUGCGAGGAAAGUUGACGGUACUAUAUGAAUAAGCACCGGCUAACUCCGUGCCAGCAGCCGCGGUAAUACGGAGGGUGCAAGCGUUGUCCGGAUUUAUUGGGUUUAAAGGGUGCGUAGGCGGUUUAUUAAGUCAGUGGUGAAAGACGGUCGCUCAACGAUUGCAGUGCCAUUGAUACUGGUAGACUUGAGUAUGAUUGAGGUAGCUGGAAUGGAUAGUGUAGCGGUGAAAUGCAUAGAUAUCGUCAAGAACACCGAUAGCGAAGGCAGCUUACCAAGCUGUAACUGACACUGAGGCACGAAAGUGUGGGGAUCAAACAGGAUUAGAUACCCUCGUAGUCCCUGAGCGGGCUGGCAAGGCGCAU